AGGGAGGGAAAGAGUUGAUUCAUUCUCCCGUAAUCGUAUCCAUCAUCGAUCAAUAUCAAUUCCAAGAAGACAAUAAGAGAAUUCAAAAUCACAUCACAUCGCAUAGACAUGAAUUCAAUUUCAAGAACCCCAUUGCUCGCUUUCCUCGUCGCUUUCUCUUUGCACUUUAUUCUCGGCUUUUCUGAAGACUCGCCUGCUUCUAAAGAUGCACCUCGCAGCACUACUUCUAUAAUUAUCAUUGUAGUAAUUGCGCUUGCGUUAUUUUCUUUGCUCUCCUUUUUACUGUUUAAGUUGUGGCGGAAGAAGAAAAGGGAAGAGCAAUAUGCUCGUCUUUUGAAAUUGUUUGAAGAGGAUGAUGAGUUAGAGCUUGAGCUUGGCCUAAGGGACUGAUCUUUGCAAUUCAACAUCUUCAAGGCUUAUGUGAGUCUAUUUAUUUUGAAAUGGGUUAUGCUAACGAGUGCUAGGACCCUUGUUAAGAAUAAAAAUUAGCAUAUAUAUGAUGAUAUGUUAUUAUGAUUUCAUUUUUAGAUCCUUAACUAGUGUCCUAAUAAUACUCGUUAGCAUUUGCCUUUCGAAUCUUCUGCUUCUUCCAUGGCCAAGAUGGAUAUGAUGUUGGAUCUCCUGUGAUGAAGUUAGGACUUUUUUUGGAGAAGAAUCAUAAUUGAUUGUUUGUAAUGCUAUUCGAUUGUUUUCUUUUCAUAGGUAUUUAUUUAUCUACAUAGUAGAUGAAGAAAAGGGUAAUUUUGCACAAAGUGAUUAGACGGGUGUCUUCAUGAGUAUGAUACACCUGAAAUUUGUUGAUAUGUAUGAUAUUUAUUAUAGUCUUGACAUGUAGAUAAUAUGUGUGUGGUGUUUAUGAAUGAGUGCCUUGUUAUUUAUAUUUGAGGACAUCUGCUUUUUAAAAUAACAUAGGCAAAACAGAUGAAGAGGAUCUGUAUUAAAUAACUUGUUUGGGUUUUGUUGUGGUUAUGAGUUUUUCCCCUAUUUGGUUGACAUUUAUUGUUUCUUGUGGAAGGAUCUUUAAUGCCUCCAUAAGAUGGGCAGUCCCUUUUACUUUUAAUCUUUGAAAAUGAUGUAAAGCAAGGGACAUUUGACUUUGUCUCAUACUUAGUGACUUUGACACUUCUAAAGUGAGGAUUUCAAUCAGCUAUUAUAAUUCUGUAUUAAUUCUUCUAAAAUGCAUCCGUCGCCCUAGAAAAGUUUGCAUAGUGC